AGCCUCCUGGCAAGUGCGCGCAUUAUGGCCAGGCUUACCGCAUACACCAC
rnacentral:rRNA from 1 species